GAGGUCUCCACAACAAACAAACAACAAAUGGAUCUAGGAUAGGCUCUGAUACCAUAUUGGAAUUUAUGAGCCCUAUACUCAACCACAAAAGCUAGCUUGAGAGUUGAGGUUUGCACUACACUUAUAAAGGUUAUAUAUCUUUACCAUAUCUCUAGCCAAUGUGAAACUUCUAACAAACGUCAAUUAUCACUGGACCGACUAACGAUUGGUCAAACACAAAGAUUCUUUACUUUGACAAUGAUACUCGACAAA
rnacentral:lncRNA from 1 species